AGCGAACGCUGGCGGCAGGCCUAACACAUGCAAGUCGAACGAACUCUUCGGCGUUGGUGUCGCACGGGGGAGUAACACGUUGGAACGUGCCUCUAGGUUCGGACUAACGCAGGGGAACUUGUGCUAAUACCGAGUGUGCUCUUCCGGGGAAAGAUUUAUUGCCUGUGGAGCAGCCCUAGUCUGCUUACCAUGUUGGUGAGGUAAAGGCUCACCACGGCGACGAUCAGUAGCUGGUUUGAGAGGAUGAUCAGCCACAUUGGGACUGAGACACGGCCCAAACUCCUACGGGAGGCAGCAGUGGGGAAUCUUGCGCAAUGGGCGAAAGCCUGACGCAGCCCUGCCGCGUGACUGAUGAAGGUCUUAGGAUUGUAAAAUUCUUUCACCGGGGACGAUAAUGACGGUACCCGGAGAAGAAGCCCCGGCUAACUUCGUG
rnacentral:rRNA from 1 species